UAGGGAAUCUUCCGCAAUGGGCGAAAGCCUGACGGAGCAACGCCGCGUGAGUGAAGAAGGAUUUCGGUUCGUAAAGCUCUGUUGUUAGGGAAGAAUGAUUGUGUAGUAACUAUACACAGUAGAGACGGUACCUAACCAGAAAGCCACGGCUAACUACGUGCCAGCAGCCGCGGUAAUACGUAGGUGGCAAGCGUUGUCCGGAAUUAUUGGGCGUAAAGCGCGCGCAGGUGGUUUAAUAAGUCUGAUGUGAAAGCCCACGGCUCAACCGUGGAGGGUCAUUGGAAACUGUUAAACUUGAGUGCAGGAGAGAAAAGUGGAAUUCCUAGUGUAGCGGUGAAAUGCGUAGAGAUUAGGAGGAACACCAGUGGCGAAGGCGGCUUUUUGGCCUGUAACUGACACUGAGGCGCGAAAGCGUGGGGAGCAAACAGGAUUAGAUACCCUGGUA
rnacentral:rRNA from 1 species